rnacentral:tRNA from 1 species
CUAUUUUGUCAGAUUUAAUGUGUUAAAUUUAGGAUUUAAUUAUGUAUUUAUUAUUUAUACAAGUAGAAA